CCCAGACUCCUACGGGAGGCAGCAGUGAGGAAUAUUGGUCAAUGGGCGCGAGCCUGAACCAGCCAAGUCGCGUGAGGGAGGACGGCCCUACGGGUUGUAAACCUCUUUUGCCGGGGAGCAACGGGCGCCACGUGUGGCGUCACUGAGAGUACCCGGAGAAAAAGCAUCGGCUAACUCCGUGCCAGCAGCCGCGGUAAUACGGAGGAUGCGAGCGUUAUCCGGAUUUAUUGGGUUUAAAGGGUGCGUAGGCGGCUUGUUAAGUCAGUGGGAAAAUGGGGGGCCCAAACCCCUUCCCGCCAUUGAAACUGGCGUUCUUGAGUGGAAGAGAAGUAUGCGGAAUGCGUGGUGUAGCGGUGAAAUGCAUAGAUAUCACGCAGAACCCCGAUUGCGAAGGCAGCAUGCCGGCUUCCGACUGACGCUGAAGCACGAAAGCGUGGGGAUCGAACAGGAUUAGAUACCCGUGUA
rnacentral:rRNA from 1 species